ACGUGAAGAUGAAGGCGAUGGGCCGUUUCUUUGACGAUGGCGACAAGGUGAAGGUAACGCUGAAGUUCCGCGGCCGUGAAAUGGCCCACCAGGAACUCGGCAUGAAGCUUCUCCUCCAGGUGAAGGAAGACACCCAGGCGAUUGCCAAGGUUGAAGCCGAGCCGAAGCUGGAAGGCCGUCAGAUGAUGAUGGUUCUCGCACCGAAAUAAUCUUUUUACGCGUUCACAUCACUGGCGCGUAUCCCACCGCAAGGGGAAAUUCUCAUUCCCCGUUGCGCUUUUAGCCGACUGCGGUUAUAAGCGCG
rnacentral:misc_RNA from 1 species